AACUCUUUUGACAUACACCACUAUCUUCCGUUUAAGCAAAGGACCGCUGUCAAAUCAUGGCCUUAGCCUAUAGACCCAUCUAUAUUACUCAAUUAUUACAGCAUUGCCUGUCAUCUCUCCACUAAAUCACAUCUGAGUCCAUUGUAACCACCCAAUUACUGAAACCCGAAACCUCCACAACACGUAACUGGGCCCCAUUGCUGCUAUUUUCUCCCUCAUUCCAGAUGCACCACCAGCUGAAAUACCCUAGUUCAAGAUUCCCUGCAGAUGGAAACUCUCACUUCAACUGUUCCUUUCAGUAUUGGUAAUAUCUAGAGAUCUAGUUUGUACUGUAGUGUUUUUCACAUUUUCAA